rnacentral:lncRNA from 1 species
AAGAUAUAAAAUUAUUUAUAGGUAUUUACAGCUAUAAAUUUCCUACUGAGGCCAGGUAAUGUGGCUCACACCUGUACUCCCAGCACUUUGAGAGGCCAAGGUGAGAAGAUUGCUUGAGCCCAGGAAUUCAAAGCUGCAGUGAGCUGUGAUCGUGCCACAGCACUGCAGCUUGGGGGACCAGAGCCAGACCUUGUCUCAAAUAAUAAUAAUAAUAAUUUUCCACUGAGCACUCUCUUCAUUGCAUCCUAUAAGUUUAGGUCACUGGGCUCAAGCAAUCCUCUCACCUCAAUCCCCAGAGUAUCUGGGACUACAGGCACAUGCCACCAUACCCAGUUAAUUUUU